rnacentral:lncRNA from 1 species
CGGAAUUCUUUCUGUGUUUUUAAAUUUGUGGUUUUGUUUUCACAAACGACCUAGUCAUGGACAGGAGWGCUGAAGACGUGUUUCUUUAAAGCCAAGAUCCAGAACUGCAGUUCGAUAAACUCUGAAGGAAUUUGCWAACCCUUGUAAUUUAUUUAUUGAUAUUACUUUUCUUUGAAAUCUGCAGAAAUCACUUUGGAAAUUUUAAAAAUUCCCCAGGACAUUUAGAAGUCACACAUGCAGUAAAAAUAGCGGGAUUUAAAYGUCCAAACAUCACACCCAGUUCUGAAAUAGCCUGAAAUGAGAACUGAAUGAAUGCUCCGUGGCCAGAAAUAGCUGAAGCCCCAGUUCCUCCCGCAGAGGUAAAUUUGCUCGUGCRGCAUGUAGCAUUCACUGCUCCUGCCCUCCUUGUUCCAGAUACCUGCACGAAUGCGCUGUCUCUGCUGACAUCCCUGCUCCACAGACCAGAAAACGCAGCAGCGUGCAGCGCUGGGCUAUUGCGGUGCCAGGUGAACCCUUCCUUUGGAGAUCGCCUCGCUGGACUGCAUUCCUUUCCUCAUGCUUAGACCUUCAUURAUCCAGCAUGAAAUGUCCGUCACUGACAGCAGCACCCUCUGGUACAGGACSAGCGUCCCAUCGACACAGGUGCUAGACGAACGCAGAAGACAUAAAAGCGGGCCCAAGAGCAUGGACCAAGUUGGAAGAUACACAAGAGGACAACAGACAGCCAUGGCCAGGGUCCCAAGUCUGAGGGUGGACAUUCCCUUACGGAGAUGGUACCUCCUCCAGGACUUGCUCCUACUCCGAGGGUUUGAGCCUUCCCUUACUGCUUCAAGGAAAUUCAGGGAAGAGAGCAUCCUGGAGAGGAGGUAACCCAGCUUAUGUCCACGUAGCAGCAGUAAAGCUAGAUGCAAAUAAGGACACAUGUCUGUGCCAAGAAAAAGUUACAGGCAAAACAUUUCCAAGAUUUUCAGAAGUUCCCUUGGGCACCGUCUGUUGACUGAGAGAAGAGCAAUGGCCAAGGCGGUGCCAGCUUCCCUGCCCUGGAGAGGAGAGGGGGGCUCGUGUUUCUGAACCCCUGUCCUGCAGCUGUGGGGAGGCUCAGCACAGCUGGAGAGGCUGGAGCCAGCCAGGCRCUUCGGGAUGUAGCUGGGGCAGUACAAACUCACCCUGCAAAACGUCACCUCCUGCCAAAGGCAGACCUUAGCGGCUGGAUAGCGCAAGGCGAGGAGCAGAGACCGUUCCCCCAGCCGUGCCCAGACGCGCGCAGAAUCCGAUCCUUUCACCCGACGCGCCAUUCAGCCUGGCGUCUGACCUAGCAAUUAAAACGUCCGUCCUUGUCUGCUGAGUGUGGAAACCCUCUCCCUCUUUACCCCAAACAUUAAUUUAGAAAGCAGAAUGCCAGAGUGACUGCCUUUCUUGUGCAAUUUUUCCCCCUUCAGAUUCCCUUGCUUCCUUUAUUUGGUGCCAGCAGAAAACAAUAUGGUUUCGUUCAUUGUCUCCUGUUAAGACUCGCAGGCGAGGGGGGAUCAUUACCGCUCCAGCAUGUGACAUCAUAAUAGGCUCCUGUCCCAGCAAACAAAAGUCGUCGCGAGACGACGGAGAGACAAGUCCUACUUAUGAUGUCACCGAAAAGACAGUAGUAGAAAUAAAGGAAGGAAGGAGGGGGGAGAUAAGAAUAAA